rnacentral:rRNA from 1 species
GGGCGGGGGCACGGGGGGACUCCUACGGGAGGCAGCAGUAGGGAAUCUUCCACAAUGGACGAAAGUCUGAUGGAGCAACGCCGCGUGAGUGAAGAAGGGUUUCGGCUCGUAAAACUCUGUUGUUAAAGAAGAACAUCUCUGAGAGUAACUGUUGUAGGUGUGACGGUACCAACCAGAAGCCACGCUUUCCGGACUUUUGUACCCAGCUGGAGGGAGCAAGAGGGAGGAAACUAUAAGAAUACCCAACCCCCACAUGUCGAAUAAAACAACCUAAACAACAGAAUUAAGAACCCUCUCCCCCCGCGGCCGCGCUGCUUACACACAUUCCCCG